GAUGAACGCUGGCGGCGUGCCUAAUACAUGCAAGUCGAGCGAACAGAUAAGGAGCUUGCUGCUUUGACGUGAGCGGAGGACGGGUGAGUAACACGUGUGUAACCUACCUAUAAGACGGGGAUCUCUUCGGGACACCGGAGCAAACACCGGAUAACAUCUUGAACCGUAUGGUUGUAAAGAGAAAUAUGGUUGUGCUGUCACGUCUCGAGGGACCUGGGCCGUAUUAGCUAGUAGGUAAGUUAACGGGUUAUCAAGGCGACGAGGCGUAGCCGACCUGAGAGGGUGAUCGGCCACACUGGAGCGUGGACGCGCUCCAGGCUCCUGCGAGACGCAGCAGUAGGGAAUCUUCCGCAGUGGGCGGAAGCCUGACGGAGCGGCGCCACGUGAGAGGUAGAGGGUUUCCGCUCGUAAUGAUCUGUUAUUAGUUAAAAACCGAUUUGUAAGUUGCUGUGCACUUCUUGACGGUACCUAAUCAGAAAGCCACGGCUAACUACGUG
rnacentral:rRNA from 1 species